UUAUCCUGCUUCUUUCGUCGGAGGGUUCUCUUUGGGCUUUACGAAAAAGUAUCACAUGCCAAGUUUGGCCUCACGGUAUAAAAGUUAUAGAGUCAUAAAGUUUUAACCAAAAAAAACAAAUUAAAAAAAAAGAGGGAUGCAACACGAGGACUUCCCGGGAGGUAACCCAUCCUAGUACUACUCUCUCCCAAGCACGCGUAACUAAAGGUCAAAAUUUAGAGU
rnacentral:sRNA from 1 species